rnacentral:rRNA from 1 species
GACGGAGGGUGCUAGCGUUGUUCGGAAUGACUGGGCGUAAAGGGCGCGUAGGCGGCCGACCCAGUCGGGUGUGAAAGCCCGGGGCUCAACCCCGGAACGGCACCCGAUACUGGUUGGCUGGAGACCGAGAGAGGUGAGUGGAAUACCCAGUGUAGAGGUGAAAUUCGUAGAUAUUAGGAAGAACACCGGUGGCGAAGGCGGCCCACUGGAUCGGUACUGACGCUGAGGUGCGAAAGCGUGGGGAGCAAACAGG